UACAGAGGUCUCAAGCGUUGUUUCGGAUUCAUUGGGCGUAAAGGGUGUGUAGGUGGCGCCGUAAGUCGGGUGUGAAAUUUCGGAGCUUAACUCCGAAACUGCAUUCGAUACUGCGGUGCUUUGAGGACUGGAGAGGAGACUGGAAUUCAUGGUGUAGCAGUGAAAUGCGUAGAGAUCAUGAGGAAGACCAGUGGCGAAGGCGGGUCUCUGGGACGGUACUGACGCUGAGACGCGAAAGCGUGGGGAGCGAACAGG
rnacentral:rRNA from 1 species